rnacentral:rRNA from 1 species
CCGUGUGCCUACAAGUAGUUAGAGCCCGUUAAUGGGUGAUAGCGUGCCUUUUGUAGAAUGAACCGGCGAGUUACGAUUGCAUGCAAGGUUAAGGUGAGAAGCCGGAGCCGCAGCGAAAGCGAGUCUGAAUAGGGCGAGUGAGUAUGUAGUUGUAGACCCGAAACCAGGUGAUCUACCCAUGUCCAGGGUGAAGGUAAGGUAACACUUACUGGAGGCCCGAACCCACGCACGUUGAAAAGUGCGGGGAUGAGGUGUGGGUAGCGGAGAAAUUCCAAUCGAACCUGGAGAUAGCUGGUUCUCUCCGAAAUAGCUUUAGGGCUAGCCUCAAGAUAGAGAAUCCUGGAGGUAGAGCACUGUUUGGACUAGGGGCCCAUCCCGGGUUACCGAAUUCAGACAAACUCCGAAUGCCAGUGAUUUAUGCUUGGGAGUCAGACUGCGAGUGAUAAGAUCCGUAGUCAAGAGGGAAACAGCCCAGACCACCAGCUAAGGUCCCCAAAUAUCCGUUAAGUGGAAAAGGAUGUGGCGUUGCUUAGACAACCAGGAUGUUGGCUUAGAAGCAGCCAUCAUUUAAAGAGUGCGUAAUAGCUCACUGGUCGAGUGACACUGCGCCGAAAAUGUACCGGGGCUAAACGGAUUACCGAAGCUGUGGAUGGACAUCGUAGAUGUCCGUGGUAGGAGAGCGUUCUAAGGGCGUUGAAGUCAGACCGGAAGGACUGGUGGAGCGCUUAGAAGUGAGAAUGCCGGUAUGAGUAACGAAAGACGGGUGAGAAUCCCGUCCACCGAAUGCCUAAGGUUUCCUGAGGAAGGCUCGUCCGCUCAGGGUUAGUCGGGACCUAAGUCGAGGCCGAUAGGCGUAGACGAUGGACAACAGGUUGAUAUUCCUGUACCACCUCCCCGCCGUUUGAGCAAUGGGGGGACGCAGAAGGAUAGGGUGAGCGUGCCGUUGGUUGUGCACGUCCAAGUUGUGAGAUGAGAAACGAGGCAAAUCCCGUUUCUAGAUACAUCAAGCAGUGAUGGCAAGAGGUUUACCUCAGAGUCCCUGAUUUCACACUGCCAAGAAAAGCCUCUAGCGAGGCGGGAGGUGCCCGUACCGCAAACCGACACAGGUAGGCGAGAAGAGAAUUCUAAGGUGAGCGAGUGAACUCUCGUUAAGGAACUCGGCAAAAUGACCCCGUAACUUCGGGAGAAGGGGUGCUCUGGUAGGGUGAAUAGCCCGAGAGAGCCGCAGUGAAUAGGCCCAGGCGACUGUUUAGCAAAAACACAGGUCUCUGCAAAACCGUAAGGUGACGUAUAGGGGCUGACGCCUGCCCGGUGCUGGAAGGUUAAGGGGAGUGCUUAGCGCAAGCGAAGGUGCGAACCGAAGCCCCAGUAAACGGCGGCCGUAACUAUAACG